UGGGGAAUCUUGCACAAUGGGGGAAACCCUGAUGCAGCGACGCCGCGUGAGUGAUGAAGCCCUUCGGGGUGUAAAGCUCUUUCGGCAGGGACGAUAAUGACGGUACCUGCAGAAGAAGCUGCGGCUAACUACGUGCCAGCAGCCGCGGUAAUACGUAGGCAGCAAGCGUUGUUCGGAAUUACUGGGCGUAAAGAGUGCGUAGGCGGUUUGGCAAGUUUGGUGUGAAAUCUCCUGGCUUAACUGGGAGGGUGCGCCGAAAACUGUCAGGCUAGAGUGUGGGAGAGGAAAGCGGAAUUCCUGGUGUAGCGGUGAAAUGCGUAGAUAUCAGGAGGAACACCUGCGGUGUAGACGGCUUUCUGGACCACUACUGACGUUGAGGCACGAAAGCGUGGGGAGCAAACAGGAUUAGAUACCCGGGUAGUCCACGCCCUAAACGAUGCGGACUUGGUGUUGGCCCUUCAUUGGGUCAGUGCCGCAGUUAACGCGGUAAGUCCGCCGCCUGGGGAGUACGGUCGCAAGGCUGAAACUCAAAUGAAUUGACGGGGUCAUAGCUGUUUCCU
rnacentral:rRNA from 1 species